rnacentral:lncRNA from 1 species
AGUAAAAUAUAUGAGACAAUUCAUAUGGACCAAUAACAUUGUCAUGAGAACAAAUAUCCAAUUUAGUUUGAUAAAUAAACAAGAACGAAAAACUGCAAUUAAAAAAGGUUCACAUAUACAUUUCACUAAAGAUGACUAAACUACACAUUCUACAACUAAGAUAAAAAAAUAGAGAUAAAAAAUGUAUGAAGCUGAUGACAACACUCAAUCUAUGAGUUUUUUCAGACCCAGAACCAAUUAAAUAAGAACAGGAGUUAAACUCAGUAUACAAAAAACCCAACAAACAAAAACAUGUUAUGCAGAAACAAAAAUCUCAACUACAAAAGUAACCUCAGAACAAAGGUUGCUGUCAUAGGAAGUGUAGUAACACCAAGUAGGUUCUCCCUGAAGCAGGGUCUUGGAUCAACUACAACCUCUAGCAAGUUGGAUUGGAAAAUCAUCGGUUACCGUAGCCAAAUUUUAUAAUAAAUUAUAAAAACUAAAAAUAAAUUAUAAAUUCUUUGAAAAGUACACAAAAUACACGUAUAAUGCCUCAGUAAAAUCCGAUGAUGUCAUAUGAAUGAAGCUUCACCAAGUAGGUUCUCCCUUAAAAAGGGUCUUGGCUCCACAGCACCUCAUAAAGUUGGAUUAAAUCAUCAUCAGCAAUCUCAAGCAAAGAAAUCCACGCUUUUUCAAACAAACAGAAUUACAUAAACAAAGAAUAAUAAAAUACUACUGGCUCAGAGAUAAACAGCUCUAUCAAUCACAAAUUUUCAGAAGCAGAACUGGCAUAUAAAGCUGAAUAGAAAUCCUCAUAGCCAAUUAUUAAAAAAAAAAAAACAAGUUGAAUUUGCAAUAUACCAAUAUUUAGAACAUGAAAAACAUGGCUCAUAUAAAGAAAUUCAACCAUUUUUAACCAAUUUCACUUCAUCGAGAAAACUCAGAAGCGCGGAUAAUGUAUAAUCAUGGCCGAGAAAUUCUAAAAUAAUUAAAGAAAUAAAUCUACGAUCGAGAAAGCUAUUUAAGGAUCAUUUCGGAAGGAACGGAGGAAGAACCCUCGGACCAAGUAAAAACGACCGCGCUUAGAUUUGCAUGUUGGAUUAGGAUUCCUCAAUCAUAUAAUGAAAUGAUUAAAUAAUAAUGAUUAAAUAAUAAUGAUUAAAUAAUACCUGGUAGACCCGUGAUCGUAUGACUGAGGGACGAAGACAUGAUCUUAAUCGGGUUUCCUGGUAGACCCGUGAUCGUAUGGCUGAGGGACGAAGACAUGAUCCUGAUCGGGUUCCCUUUAUGGUGUAUCGCUUAGAAUGGAAUUUUGUGAGUAGAGAGACAAAGAGAUGAGAGGCUUGAAAAUCCCUUUAGGAAAUGAGUUUCGGUGAUCUUGGAAUAUGAGAGUGUCUCUUUAGUUGUCUGGUAAUCUCUAUUUGUCUGACCCAAGGGAAACCCUAAUUAUUUAUGUAGUAAUUACGUCCAUCAAGUAAUUACCAAUAAUAUAAUAGGAUAAUUAUGGUAAUUGAUCAAUUAAUAAGAUAAAUAAUCGUGAGGUGCCACAUAAUAUUCUUUUACAUUGCGCCUUUAGAACUAACACCGAUUUCAGAGAAGACGUCUGGUGUUCGAAAAGAAGGUAUGCCACACAACAAUCGUAAAUAAGAGAUAGAAAUUGAAAAGAGGAAUUUCACCGUUACUUUGACACAGAUCAACUGUGGAAAAUUGGGGAUGAACUGCAACACGAACGGCGAUGAUUUCGCACGUGCAUCGGGGCGUUCACGUCAUGUGGAUUCAAGAUGCCCGGGAGGCACCGUGCGGACAAGAAACUAAAAUGGAAAAUAUAAAAUCUGAGAUAUGCCAAAAUAUGUGGGGGAAAUCGAAUGUAAACUGGGUACAUAAAAAGACUAACAAUGGGGCAGGGGGAAUUCUUACCAUUUGGGAUAAUAGUGUUUUUAAAUUAGAAGAUCAUUACCUAGGAAAUGGCUUUAUUAUUGUUCAAGGGAUAAUGCUUAAUGAAAAUCAAUUAAUUGUUGUGGUAAAUGUGUACUCUGCAUAUAGUGUAAGUGAAAAAAAGAAUAAUGUGCGAGGAACUUUUAAAAUUUAAAGAAAAAAACCAUAUUAAGUUGUGGUGUAUACUUGGUGACUUCAAUGUCAUGAGAAAACAAGAUGAGAAAAUAGGUUGUCAACCUCUGGAUUCAUACAAAAACAAAAUGAAGGACUUUAGUGAGUUAAUUGAAAACAUAAAUGGGGAGGCAAAAUCAAGAUUGGAUAGGACACUAAUGUGGAAUGGAUGGAUGUUUGGCCACAAUGUAAAUAAUAGGCUUUAAAUAGAAUGGUAUCCGAUCAUUGGGCUUUAAUUAUAAAACAAUCUUAACAAGAUUGUAUGACUUAGACAGAUAUCCCUAGUUGACAAUUUUUACAAAAUCAUAGCAAAAAUUUUAGCUAGAAGACUACAAAAAAUCGUGCAUUGAUCAUAAACUAUCAGCUUUCAUUUAAGGAAGGAGCAUUGAUAAUUGUGACAAAUGAAGUUAUAGAGGAGGUAAGAAAGAAGAACUGGCAUCAUUGUUAAGGCUGGAAACUGGAAUUUUCUAUUUUAUAUGUUAAAAAAGUUGGGGUUUAGAAAUACAUGGAUUAAAUGGAAUAGAAGUUUCUUAGAAUCAUCAUCUAUAUCCAUACUUGUCAAUAGAAGCCCUUCUAAACAAUUCCAACCUACAAAGGGCCAAAGGCAGGGUGACCCUUUAGCACCAUCUCUAUUUCUUAUAGUGGCUAAAGGUUUAGUUGGAGUCAUGAGAGUAACCGAACAAAAAGGACUCUAUGAUGGCAUUAGAGUGGGUUUGGAUCAAAUUGAGGAUAAUGUGUACAGUUGUUACAGUUUGUCGAUGAUAUCUUUUUUUGUGAGGAUAAUGUGUAAAAGAUCAAAAGAAAUAAAUGCACUCGAUGUUUCGAAUUUGUGUCUAGGUUGAAGGUGAACUUUAGAAAAAGUAAAAUCGCAUGUAUAGAUGCACAACAUACAAAUAUUCUAAGAUACUCUACGAUUUUAAAUUGUAAUCAAAAGCCCUUUUAAAUAUUUAGGAGUUCCAAUGGGAGAUAAUCAUAGAAAAAAAGUGUUCUGGAAUGAUGAUAUCAAAACUUAAAAUCAAGCUUUCUAGUUGGAAAAGAAAACAAUUAUCUUUUGCUGGAAGAGUUACUUUAAUAAAAUCUUUCAUUUCAUUUCAGCUGUUCCUUUAUAUUAGUUAUCUCCAUUCAAAAUGUUUGGGUCUGUUCCUUUAUAUUAGUUAUCUCCAUUCAAAAUGUUUGGGUUAAAUUCAAAAUGUUUAGGGGUUAAGUGAGACUUUCUAUGUCAAUCCAAAUGAGAUGGACGAAAAGGAAAUAAGGAUGCAAGUCUGUUUAAUACGGAAAUUGAGAGUUAGAUGAUACUGUUGCGUACUCAAUCUUAGUGGUGAAGAAGUACUGCAGAGAAAACUCAAAUUCUUGUUUUGAUAAUAAGACAAGUUAUGCAGAGAGUAAUAUCCUGUUUUAGACUAAUUAUUGAAUAUCCUGUUUUAGACUAAAUAUUGGAUAGGGAAUUACUCCCAUGUGAUUCAAAUUCAGUUUAAAGGAUGUGUUUGCAAGAAAGAAGAGGAUUUAUAAAUUGAUUCCUUAGCUUCUUAAGAUCUAUGAUUACAAAUUUUACAAAGGAAAACUACAACAAUACAUCAGGAUUCUUAUUCUCUUUCGUGUUGUUCCUCUCAGGGCAACCAAUCUUAACAAUUAGAACAAUUAGAAAACCUCUCCAGAACAAUUAAAGUUCACGAAUCAACAUAAAGAAUUUAGAGUGGACGCUUAAAAAUCAAUUAUCACAAGUUCACUCUUCACUAGUAGAUAUGUAUAAAUCUAAACAUGAAUGAAAAAGGAUUUUAUAUAAAAUUAAAUGUUUUGAUAUAUCAUUCGUAUUUACUUCGUUGUUAUGUUCCUCACCCUUAAGGAUUUUUCAGUUACUCAGAUUGAUCUUGGCAUGUAAAAUAAGAAUGUUGCCAAAAUAAUCUUCAUAGUAUCAGGUCACAAUAAUCUUCAUUACUUUGAGUAUCAAUUCAAUCAGCCACAUUAUUCUUUUUAUUCAUAGUGGCAAACUACAUUUUGAAAAAUCAGUUGUGUUGGUGAACAACCAGUUGAAGAACAUUCGCAAGUGGCAAACAUGCGCGGAUUAAUAUCAAUCAUAAAUUUACUUAUUAAAUUAAUAUUACUUGACACGAAACCUUUGUGUAUCUAUUUUAUAAGUUUCUUGGUAUAUUUUAAGGAAAAUGCAUUUGUACUUUAUAAUAAUGGAACAAAUAUCCAAUUUAGUUUGAAAAAUAUACAAGAACGAAAAACUGCAAUUAAGAAAGGUUUACAUAAACAUUUCACUAAAGAUGACUAAACUACACAUUCUACAACUAAAAAUAGAAAAAAGAAGAUGAAAAAUGUAGUGCUGUUAUUUAACUCCUAACUCGUGGAUACAAGAGAUGAAGCUGAUGACAACACUCAAUCUAUGAGUUUUUUCAGACCCAGAACCAAUUAAAUAAGAACAGGGUAUAGUUGGAUUGGAAAACCCAACAAACAAAAACAUGUUACGAAGAAACAAAAAUCUUAACUAUAAAAGUAACCUCAGAACAAAGGUUGCUGUCAUAGGAAGUGUAGUAACACCAAGUAGGUUCUCCCUGAAGCAGGGUCUUGGAUCAACUACAACCUCUAGCAAGUUGGAUUGGAAAAUCAUCGGUUAUCGUAGCCAAAUUUUAUAAUAAAUUAUAAAAACUUAUAAAUUCUUUGAAAAGUACACAAAAUACACGUAUAAUGCCUCAGUAAAAUCCGAUGAUGUCAUAUGAAUGAAGCUUCACCAAGUAGGUUCUCCCUUAAAAAGGGUCUUGGCUCCACAACACCUCAUAAAGUUGGAUUAAAUCAUCAUCAGCAAUCUCAAGCAAAGAAAUCCACGCUUUUUCAAACAAAUAGAAUUACAUAAACAAAGAAUAAUAAAAUACCACUGGCUCAGAGAUAAACAACAGCUCUAUCAAUCACAAAUUUUCAGAAGCAGAACUGGCAUAAAGCUGAAUAGAAAUCCUCAUAGCCAAUUAUUAAAAAAAAAAACAAGUUGAAUUUGCA